GACAGAGGGUGCAACCGUUGUUCGGAAUUACUGGGCGUAAAGCGCGUGUAGGCGGCCGUGCAAGUCGGGUGUGAAAGCCCUGGGCUCAACCCAGGAAGUGCAUUCGAUACUGCGCGGCUCGAGUCCCGGAGAGGGUGGUGGAAUUCUCGGUGUAGAGGUGAAAUUCGUAGAUAUCGAGAGGAACACCUGUGGCGAAGGCGGCCACCUGGACGGCGACUGACGCUGAGACGCGAAAGCGUGGGGAGCAAACAGG
rnacentral:rRNA from 1 species